rnacentral:lncRNA from 1 species
CUGACCACUGUGGCCACCACCGCCCGCCCCUGCUAGAGGCUUGGAGUGAGGACCACCUUGACUCCCAGCUGACAUCUGAGCGCGAGGUUGGGCGAGCCAGGGACCCUGCCCAGCGUGAUUCAAACCCAGGGGACUGAUUUAGGGAAGCCGCAUCUCAGCCAGGUGCCAGGGUGCCCAGCAGCUUGGGAGGCUGAGGCAGGAGGAUUGCAAGUUGGAGGCUAGCCUCAGCCACUUAGUGAGUCCCUAAGCAACUCAGGGAGACCCUGUCUCUAAAUAAGACACAAAACAGAGCUGGGGACGGGGCUCAGGGGUCGAGGGACCCUGGAUUCAAUCCCUGGUCCCCCCCACAAAAAAAAGAGUCCCUGAGGUUGGGGUCAGUGACCCCAUUUGUCAGAGGAAAUAGAGGCACAGAAUGGUCAGUUCACUUCUCCACCGUCCCACAGCUAACAAGGGGCUGACCCAGAGCUCCACCAGAGCUGGCUGUCCCCUGCCCACCUUAGACUGGGGGCCGCUCUCCAGCCCUCUGCUCACCGUCUCCCGGGGCGCUGCUUUGCUUCCUGGUCCCCUGGCGAGGGGACAAGCUUCCUCUUCCUGGCUGGCUCCGGCUCCGGCCCCUCUGCUGCCCCACACCGUAACCGUCUGUCCCCACGGGGUGGCCGUCUUGCCCAGGUACUCAGCCUGGCUUCCUCCUGCCCUGUCGGUCCCCGGGUCUCUGUCCGUCCCCUCUGGUGGCAGGACUUCAUACCCACACUGGCUGGGACACCAGCAGCUGCCUGUUCCCGUCUCAGCAUCUGGGAAGUGUGGCUGCCUUCCUAGAAGUUUCCUUGCCUCGCCCUCAAACACAGGGGCCUUUGUUCCCUGCAGCGGAACAUCCUGUUCCAGAGUGGCCCGCGGAUCCUUCCAGAAAGAACCCCUUCUGCCGCGCGAGGGUGGAGAUUUAAAACAGGUCGCAGCCACGAGAGGGGUGACCUGGUGUCAUUCAUAAUGGGCGCUGCAGGCCUGAGGCCACAGAGCCAGGAGGUGGGAGGGACAGGAUUCGGGCUCCCAGGCUGCUCUCUGGACCCCUGUGUCCCUGUGUCCCUAUGCAAAGAGGCAUCCUCUGACCCCAUCCUCAUGGUGGGUCUCAUGUACAGAUGGGAAGGUUGCUCACUGCACAACUAAAGGGGAGGGGGGUGCCAUUUCCAUUAUGGUCCCUGAGACGACUUUGUGAUGGCUUUUUUU